UACCGCAUACGUCCUACGGGAGAAAGCAGGGGACCUUCGGGCCUUGCGCUAUCAGAUGAGCCUAGGUCGGAUUAGCUAGUUGGUGAGGUAAUGGCUCACCAAGGCGACGAUCCGUAACUGGUCUGAGAGGAUGAUCACACACACUGGAACUGAGACACGGUCCAGACUCCUACGGAAGGCAGCAGUGGGGAAUAUUGGACAAUGGGCGAAAGCCUGAUCCAGCCAUGCCGCGUGUGUGAAGAAGGUCUUCGGAUUGUAAAGCACUUUAAGUUGGGAGGAAGGGUUGUAGAUUAAUACUCUGCAAUUUUGACGUUACCGACAAAUAAGCACCCGGCUAACUCUGUGCCAGCAGCCGCGGUAAUACAGAGGGUGCAAAGCGUUAAUCGGAAUUACUGGGCGUAAAGCGCGCGUAGGUGGUUUGUUAAGUUGGAUGUGAAAUCCCCGGGCUCAACCUGGGAACUGCUCCAAAACUGGGAAGCUAGAGUAUGGUAGAGGGUGGUGGAAUUUCCUGUGUAGCGGUGAAAUGCGUAGAUAUAAGAAAGAACCCCCGGGGCAAAGGCGACC
rnacentral:rRNA from 1 species